rnacentral:rRNA from 1 species
UACGGAGGGUGCGAGCGUUGUCCGGAAUCACUGGGCGUAAAGGGCGCGUAGGCGGCGCGGGAAGUCAUCGGUGAAAGUUCAGGGCUCAACUCUGAAUCGGCCGGUGAUACUCUCGUGCUCGAGCACUGUAGAGGCAGGUGGAAUUCCGGGUGUAGCGGUGGAAUGCGCAGAUAUCAGGAGGAACACCGGUGGCGAAGGCGGGUCUCUGGGCCGUUACUGACGCUGAGGAGCGAAAGCGUGGGGAGCGAACAGG